AUUGAACGCUGGCGGAAUGCUUUACACAUGCAAGUCGAACGAUGAGACCUAGCUUGCUAGGUUGAUUAGUGGCGAACGGGUGAGUAAUGUAUCGGAACGUAUCCAAUAAUGGGGGAUAACUAACCGAAAGGUUAGCUAAUACCGCAUACGCCCUACGGGGGAAAGCAGGGGAUCUUCGGACCUUGCGUUAAUGGAGCGGCCGAUAUCUGAUUAGCUAGUUGGUGAGGUAAAGGCUCACCAAGGCGACGAUCAGUAGCUGGGCUGAGAGGACGACCAGCCACACUGGAACUGAGACACGGUCCAGACUCCUACGGGAGGCAGCAGUGGGGAAUUUUGGACAAUGGGCGAAAGCCUGAUCCAGCCAUUCCGCGUGAGUGAAGAAGGCCUUCGGGUUGUAAAGCUCUUUCGCAAGGGAAGAAAACUUACUUUCUAAUAAGGAGUGAGGUUGACGGUACCUUGAUAAGAAGCACCGGCUAACUACGUGCCAGCCGCCGCGGUAA
rnacentral:rRNA from 1 species